rnacentral:rRNA from 1 species
AGAGUUUGAUCAUGGCUCAGAACGAACGCUGGCGGCAGGCCUAACACAUGCAAGUCGAACGCCCCGCAAGGGGAGUGGCAGACGGGUGAGUAACGCGUGGGAAUCUUCCUGGUGGUGCGGAAUAACUCGCCGAAAGGCGUGCUAAUACCGCAUAAGCCCGCAAGGGGAAAGAUUUAUCGCCAUCAGAUGGGCCCGCGUAGGAUUAGCUAGUUGGUGAGGUCACGGCUCACCAAGGCGACGAUCCUUAGCUGGUUUGAGAGAAUGACCAGCCACACUGGGACUGAGACACGGCCCAGACUCCUACGGGAGGCAGCAGUGGGGAAUCUUGGACAAUGGGCGCAAGCCUGAUCCAGCCAUGCCGCGUGAGUGACGAAGGCCUUCGGGUUGUAAAGCUCUUUUAGCAGGGACGAUAAUGACGGUACCUGCAGAAUAAGCCCCGGCUAACUUCGUGCCAGCAGCCGCGGUAAUUC